rnacentral:rRNA from 1 species
GGGGCUAAUUCUCGAUAGGUGAAGAACUCUGGAAUGAGUCUUUGCCAAAAAGACGUUUACGUUAUGCUCGUAGGCGUCGCCCAAGGAUGAGGCCGCGACCGAUCAGGUUGUUGGUGAGGUAAUGGCUCACCAAGCCUUUUACCGGUGCGGGCCGUGAGAGCGGGAGCCCGGAGAUGGGCACUGAGACAAGGGCCCAGGCCCUACGGGGCGCAGCAGUCGCGAAAACUUUGCAAUACACGAAAGUGUGACAGGGCUAUCCCGAGUGCCAUCCGCUGAGGAAGGCUUUUACCCAGUCUAAAACGCUGGGGGAAUAAGGAGAGGGCAAGUCUGGUGUCAGCCGCCGCGGUAAUACCAGCUCUCCGAGUGGUGUGGAUGUUUAUUGGGCCUAAAGCAUCCGUAGCUGGCUGAGUUAGUCCCUUGUUAAAUCCACCGAAUUAAUCGUUGGAUUGCGGGGGAUACUGCUCGGCUAGGGGACGAGAGAGGCAGACGGUAUUUCUGGGGUAGGGGUGAAAUCCUAUAAUCCCAGGAGGACCACCAGUGGCGAAGGCUGUCUGCUAGAACGCGCCCGACGGUGAGGGAUGAAAGCUGGGGGAGCGAACCGGAUUAGAUACCCGGGUAGUCCCAGCUGUAAACGAUGCAGACUAGGUGUUUGGACGGCCACGUGCCGUUCUAGUGCCGCAGGG